rnacentral:rRNA from 1 species
GUGGGGAAUAUUGGACAAUGGGCGAAAGCCUGAUCCAGCCAUGCCGCGUGUGUGAAGAAGGUCUUCGGAUUGUAAAGCACUUUAAGUUGGGAGGAAGGGCAGUAAGUUAAUACCUUGCUGUUUUGACGUUACCGACAGAAUAAGCACCGGCUAACUUCGUGCCAGCAGCCGCGGUAAUACGAAGGGUGCAAGCGUUAAUCUGAAUUACUGGGCGUAAAGCGCGCGUAGGUGGUUUUGUAAGUUGGAGGUGAAAUCCCCGGGCUCAACCUGAGAACUGCCUCCAAAACUGCAUGACUAGAGUACGGUAGAGGGUAGUGGAAUUUCCUGUGUAGCGGUGAAAUGCGUAGAUAUAGGAAGGAACACCAGUGGCGAAGGCGACUACCUGGACUGAUACUGACACUGAGGUGCGAAAGCGUGGGGAGCAAACAGGAUUAGAUACCCGGGUAGUCC